AGUUGGCCUGAGUCUGCUACCUUCACCUACUAAAGGGAGAUGAGGGCAGUCUGAUUUGCCAAUCUGCAGUGACCAAUGAGAGAUCAGGAGAAAAGGAGACCAGACAGGCUUGAGUGUGCAACCUCCACCGAUGAAAGAAAAAUGAGGCUGGCCUCAGAUUCCAACCUCCAAUGAGCAAAAGAGGUGAGGCCGGUCUCAUUUUACAACCUUCAAUGAAGAAUGAGAGAUCAUGCCAGCCAGAGUACACAAUUUCCAUCAACGAAAAGGGCCUCAGGCCAUCCUGAUUUUCCAUCCUGAAAUGAAAAGAGAUGAUCAGGCCGGCCUGACUUCCCAACCUCCAGUGACCAGGAGAAGUAGCCAACCUGAGAUUAUAAUCACCAGCAACCAAGUGGAGAUCAGGCCGGUCUGAAUCUGCAACUUUUAUUGAGAAGGGGAGAUCAGACCAGCCUGAGUUUGCAGCCUCCAUCGAUGACAGAAAAAUGAGACUGGCCUCAGAUUUCAACCUCCAGUGAGCAAAGAGAGGUGACGCUGGUCUCACUUUACAACCUCCAACGAAGAACAAGCAAUCAUUGCAGCCAUGGUCUGCAACUUCCAACGACGAAAGGAAGAUCUGGCCAGCCUGACUCUCUAACCUCCAGUGACCAAGAAAUGUAACCAGGCUGAGUCCGCAAUCUCCAGUGAGCAAAGAAAGAUUGGCCAGUCUGAGUUUGCAAUCUCUUAUUGACAAAGUGGAGGUAAGACUGGCCUGAAUUUGCAACCGCCUAGAAAGUGAGAAAGAGAGAGAUACGUCCUGCCAGAGUUUGCAACCACUAGAGAGAAAAGAAGGAUGAGCCUGGCCUGAGUUUGCAACCUCUAUCAAUCAUGGGGAAUCAAACCAGCCUCAGUUUGCAACCUCCAGCGAGUAAAGAGAGAGAAGGCUGGCCAGCGUUUGCAACCUUUAGAAACCAAAGAGAGAUGAAGCCAGCCUGUGUUUCCAAUUUCCAUUGGCGACGGCGAUGUAAGACUGGCCUGAGUUUACAAUUGUGCAGCUGCAGAGCUGGCAGCAGAUUCGGACAGUGAGGAGGUUGGGGAGGAACAUGGGUCAGUCCUGCAGUCUGGGGAAGACUCUGCAUCGGAGGAGGCAGAGAUUGGGCCAGGGCAGUCUGACAGUUAUCAGUUGCCUUUGGAGUCAGACAUCAGUGAGGCAGACAAACAGCUGGAGCCUAUUCCCAGUGUGCGCAUGCACAGAGUUUCCAGAUGAAGGGAACAGCUGAGGAAUAAGAGUUGACUUGGGAGUAAGACCACAGGUGGACGAUGAAUGGCCCCUCCCAUAGGUAUUAAAAGAGGAGCGAAUAGGGAGGGGAGUUUGCAGGAGACAAUUAGUUCGCUUAAUUGGUUCGUGACUCUCAGAGAAUCCUUGGCAAGUUUUGAAGAUAUCGGCCUGGUUGGUCUCCAAGUUAGAUAAGGUCUGUGACUGUAAAUGCUCUCUUGAAAGACUUCAUUGGAUGUGAAUGUGGCCAGAAAGAUUGGCCAGUCUGAGUUUGCAAUCUCUAUUGACAAAGGGGAGGUAAGCCUGGCCUGAGUUUGCAACCGCCCAGGAAGUAGAGAGAGAGAUAUGUCCUGCCAGAGUUUGCAUCCUCUAGAGAGAAAAGAGGGAUGAAUCUGGCCUGAGUUUGAAACCUCUAUCAACCAUGGGGUAUUGAAACCAGCCUCAAUUUGCAACCUCCAGCAAGCAAAGAGAGAGGAGGCUGGCCCGCAUUUGCAACCUUUAGCAACCAAAGAGAGAUGAAGCCAGCCUGAGUUCCCAAUUUCCAUUAGUGAGGGCGAUUUAAGACUGGCCUGAGUUUGCAACCACCCAGGAUGUAGAGAGAGAGAGAUACGUACUGCCAGAGUUUGCAUCCUCUAGAGAGAAAAGAGAUAUGAACCUGGCCUCAGUUUGCAACCUCCAGCAAGCAAAGAGAGAGGAGGCUGGCCCACAUUUGCAACCUUUUAGCAACCAAAGAGAGAUGAAGCCAGCCUGAGUUCCCAAUUUCCAUUGGUGAGAGCGAUGUAAGACUGGCCUGAGUUUACAACCGUGCAAUGAGCAGAGAAAGAUGGACCUCACCAGAGUUUGCAAUCUCUAGCACGCAAAGAGAGAUAAACCCUGCUUGAGUUUGCAACGUCCAGGAACCAAAGAGAGAUGAGGCCAGCCUAAGUUUGUAACCUUCCUUGACCAGGUCUUACCAUUCUGAGUUUGCAACUCUAGUGAGCAAAGAAAGAUUGGCCAGUCUGAGUUUGCAAUCUCUAUUGACAAAGGGGAGGUAAGCCUGGCCUGAGUUUGCAACCACCCAGGAUGUAGAGAGAGAUGUCCUGCCAGAGUUUGCAUCCUCUAGAGAGAAAAGAGAUAUGAACCUGGCCUGAGUUUGAAACCUCUAUCAACCAAGGGGAAUCAAACCAGCCUCAGUUUGCAACCUCCAGCAAGCAAAGAGAGAGGAUGCUGGCCAGCGUUUGCAACCUUUAGCAACCAAAGAGAGAUGAAGCCAGCCUGUGUUUCCAAUUUCCAUUGGCGAGAGCGAUGUAAGACUGGCCUGAGUUUACAACCGCAGAGAGAGCAGAGAGAGAUGAACCUGGCCAGAGUUUGCAAUCUCUAACAUGCAAAGAGAGAGAAACCCUGCUUGAGUUUGCAACCUCCAGGAACCAAAGAGAGAUGAGACCAGCCUAAGUUUGCAACCUUCCUUGACCAGGUCUCACCAUUGUGAGUCUGCAACCUCUAAUGAGCAAAGAAAGAUUGGCCAAUCUGAGUUUGCAACCAAAUACGAGCAAGGGGAGGUCAUCUGGUUUUUUGAAAGCACCUGGCUGCCUUCACAUCCAGUAACCUAGCCAAGGUCAGCCUUGUUGGAGUUUGCAAGCUCCAGCAAGGAAACGGCUUAUCAGCUCUUCAGCUUCUUUCUGCAAUUUCUCAGAGCUCUGAGGCCUUGAAACUCUAGGGACAUAAGGCUUCCUCCUCAACGUUCAGUCUCACCACUGGUGCGAUUUUCCUGGUAAGGGUUGUGUUUGCCUGAUUCGCCUGGCACACUAGGUAAGAAGUCCCCUCCUUCUCUCGGUCUCUUUCUCACUCCUCAGUCCUUUUGUGACAAGGUGCCUUGCACUGAACAUCUGCUCCUGCCCAUGAUCUUGAUCCCUGUCCCUUUAGGGAGGUUAACUGAGGGUCAGAGGGGACCACCUCCUUGCUGCAAGAAGCCCCAAUCAUAGGACAGCAGUUGGGCAGAUGCUACCAUCCUGCUGGAAAGCAGGACCAUCAUGGCUGCCAGAGGGACAGUGCAUGGCUAAUGGUCUGGCAUCAGAGCAGACACCUCACUUUCACAGGUGCUCCAGGUUCAGCUCAGUACUGACCCGCAUUGACUGGGUUGUCAGGAGAAAGAGGGGAGGGGAAAGCUCUAAUGAUCCCUCUCUUGCCCUUUGCAACUGUUUGCAUCCUGAGGGAACCAAGACAGGAAGGACUGGCUUGGACAGUUACCCUGUAAGUACCCUGGGACUUGACUUUCACGUCCACCUCGUGUACGCCCUAAAAAUAAACUUUUCUGUUCCAGACACAAAUGUUGCUCCAUUGAUGCUCACUCUGGUUAGGUUCCUUCCAGUGUCUACAGACCGUCAAGUUUCUCCCUUCCCACAAAAGGCUAAUUUUGACUGAAGCCCCAUUUCAAGUUACUCAGUGUCUCUGGAAAAGUCUCUACAAGAUCAUUGUGAGGACUAUUUUCAACAUGUGUCGGAUGAUGCUUGGAUUCACUCAGAAUUGGAUUCUGGCUAGGAACCAAGGCUUUCACUCAAGAGCUGGGAGGCCAGUUUCAAGUUUGUAAGUAGGACAAAGAAGGGAAAACCUGAAGGCCGAAAAAUAGCAGUUUUCAAGAUGAACCUAUGGAUCUUCUCCAGUGGAUAAGGAUGCAAAGCUUCUUGCAUGCUAUGGCCGUGAUGUUGAAUACUUUGCAGCUUCUGAUAUACAAGUAGUCCUCAAUUUACGACCACAAUCAGGACCAGAAUUUCCAUUGCUAUGCAAGGAGUAUGUUAAACGAGUCAUGCCAAUUUUAUGACUUUUUUUUGCCAGUUGUUAAGUGAAUCAUGAUGUUGUUAAACAAAUCCAGCUUCCCCUGUUAACUUAUCAGAAGCCAAUUGGGAAGGUCUCAAAUGGCAAUCGUGUAAUCCUGAGAUACCGCAACAGUCAUAAAUACAUACCAUUUCCCAAGUGCUUGAAUUUUGAUCACGUGACUGUGGGGAUGCUGUGAUGGUUAUAAGUGCAGGGACCAAUUGUCAGUCCCUUUUUUCAGUGCUGCUGUAACUUCAAAAUGUCAUGAAAUGAAUGGAUGUAAAUCGAGGAUGUUCUGUAUUCUAUACUCACAUUAAAUAAUUUGUUAUUU